rnacentral:rRNA from 1 species
UGAGGAAUAUUGCGCAAUGGAGGAAACUCUGACGCAGCAACGCCGCGUGAGUGAAGAAGGCUUUCGGGUUGUAAAGCUCUGUCAGGUGGGAAGAAACCUUUAUAGUUGAAUAGACUAUAAAACUGACGGUACCACCAAAGGAAGCACCGGCUAACUCCGUGCCAGCAGCCGCGGUAAGACGGAGGGUGCAAGCGUUGUUCGGAAUCACUGGGCGUAAAGCGCGUGUAGGCGGCUUGACAAGUCGAAGGUGAAAGCCCUGGGCUCAACCCCGGAAGGGCCGUGGAAACUGUCAGGCUUGAGUACGGGAGAGGGAAGUGGAAUUCCUGGUGUAGAGGUGAAAUUCGUAGAUAUCAGGAGGAACACCGGUGGCGAAGGCGGCUUCCUGGACCGAUACUGACGCUGAGACGCGAAAGCGUGGGGAGCAAACA